rnacentral:rRNA from 1 species
UACGUAGGGACCAAGCGUUGUUCGGAUUUACUGGGCGUAAAGGGCGCGUAGGCGGCUUAACAAGUCACUAGUGAAAUCUCCGGGCUUAACUCGGAACGGCCAAGUGAAACUGUCAAGCUAGAGUGCGGAAGGGGCAAUCGGAAUUCUUGGUGUAGCGGUGAAAUGCGUAGAUAUCAAGAGGAACACCUGAGGUGAAGACGGGUUGCUGGGCCGACACUGACGCUGAUGCGCGAAAGCCAGGGGAGCAAACGGG